GAAGGCAGUGACGACUCGGAAAAUAUCAAGCUCAACAGACCGGAAUGAGGUGUUUCUUCCUUUACCGGAGAUUCGUUUCUGUGUCGAUAAUCCCGCUGAACUGAGCCUUC
rnacentral:snoRNA from 1 species